CCUACGGGAGGCAGCAGUGGGGAAUAUUGCACAAUGGGGGAAACCCUGAUGCAGCGCCGCCGCGUGAGUGAAGAAGUAUUUCGGUAUGUAAAGCUCUAUCAGCAGGGAAGAAAAUGACGGUACCUGACCAAGAAGCCCCGGCUAACUACGUGCCAGCAGCCGCGGUAAUACGUAGGGGGCAAGCGUUAUCCGGAUUUACUGGGUGUAAAGGGAGCGUAGACGGUUGUGCAAGUCAGAAGUGAAAGCCCGGGGCUCAACUCCGGGACUGCUUUUGAAACUGUGAAACUGGAGUGCAGGAGAGGUAAGCGGAAUUCCGGGUGUAGCGGUGAAAUGCGUAGAUAUCAGGAGGAACACCAGUGGCGAAGGCGGCUUACUGGACUGUAACUGACGUUGAGGCUCGAAAGCGUGGGGAGCAAACAGGAUUAGAGACCCUUGUAGUC
rnacentral:rRNA from 1 species